UUGAAGUCCACACAUCUUCAAGCUGCCAAGGUUGAGAAACGCUGGUCUAAAGCAAUCGUGCCCUAGGCAUCAUGGUCAUAUUCAACGCGGAGGCAAGCUUAAGUGCCCUGGGAAGUCGCCCCUACUUGGAAUCUGCUCUCCUGAAGAUCCCCCCUUCAGGUGCUGAGCUGAACAGGUCUGCUCCCACCCUCCCCUGUGUUUCCCCACAUGCCAGCAGAGGCCUGGACUUGCUUUUGCUUGAGCUCCAGGAAAUCCUUCGCAAGCUCCAGGGCUCUAGCAGCAGGUGCCCAGUUUGCAUUGGGAGCUGUGCCCGCCUUUGCUUCAGUCCUCUGGCUGCAUGGGAGAGGUUGGGAAGGCGUGGGAGGGCCAUGGGCUAGGUGGCAUCCUGUUCUCUCCCCUCUUUGGGGUUCAGAAACUGGAGCAAGGUGAGCGUGAUCCUUCAAGGGCCCACAAGGUGCUCUCCAUGGUGCUACCAGCCCGUGGCGGCCUCACCUCUGACUCAUCUGGCCCUGUUUCUGGAGCUCCCCUGCCCUGCCCUCCCCCUGCCCCACUGGUCUGCCACUGCACCUGGAUAGGCACAGCAGAACUCAGCUUGCCCUUCUGGCACCCUGCCUGGCUUGGCUCCGAAGAGCCAGUGUUUGUCCCCAAAACUGGCCACCCAACCUCUUGACCUCCCUCCACAGGAUUCUGGAGGCAUCAGCAGUGCCCCCUCUUCUUCUUUCUGCCCUGCAGCCAGGUUGGCAGUCUCUCUCCUCCGGGCUGGGGACCCUGCAGGGCCAUCGCAGUCCACAGCGACACAGAGAUAUGCCCUCCUAUGGAAUCGCUGUAGAAGGCCACGCAAGCACAUCCUGGGAAUUUGAAAUUCGGGUGGACGUAUUGCAUCUUCCUCCGCGAUAAUUUCCCUAAGCAAGAACGUGACGUCUCCUCUGCGUGAUGCUGGCUUCAAGUCACGGUAUGCUGGACAGAAGAUACCAGCCAGGAUCUGAAAGCGGGAUUAAAAUACACGGCUCAGGUAGAGCGUCAGGGGAAAACCUCGUCAAGCACGAGAGACGCGCGCACCAAAACACCGACCACUUCAAGGUUCUAAAGGGGAAGGGAGAGACCGUGGCUGCAAUGGUGUGAUCAGAGCUCUGCCUGUUCUGCUGCUGCCAUCUUGACACCCCUGGAUCAUUCCGAGUUCUGCAAACCACUUUGGCUCUAUUGCUGGAAACCAACGUGGAUAUUUAUUUAUUUAUGUAUUUAUGUAUGUAUAUUUCAAAUGUAGUCACU